rfam:Myceliophthora thermophila ATCC 42464 chromosome 1, complete sequence.
GGGCGUGUGGCUCAGUUGGUAGAGCGUUCGCUUAGCAUACCAUCCGGUUUGCGAAAGGUCCUGGGUUCGAUUCCCAGCUCGUCCA